CAGUAACAGAACCUGUGUGCAAGAGCUAGGUGAAGGACCUCUAGCACUAGGGAGCUCUGUCCACUUCUCUGAGGAAGUGAGGCCACGUGUGGGGUACCGCAACCAAUUCAUCAUUGCCUUCUCCAGCUGCUGGAGACAGGGCACCGGAGGGUGCACUCCAGGUUCAGGUGGCAGUGUUGAAGCCGAAAGCUUCUAAAGAAGUGGUUUCAGAAAAAUUAAGAGUUGAAUGUAUAUGAGUAAGCAAACGUAGGAAUCCAAAAAACCACAGCCUGGGACAGAUCAAGCCUAGUACCUUUCCAGCACUUAAGAAGAGUUCAUGCCCAAUCGAUUCACUAUUCAUCUUGAUUCCAUCAUGAAGACAACAGUGUGAGCCUGGAAUUCCCAUAUGCCCAGGAAGGAAGGAAGUGGAAUUAUCUGGUAGCCUCAGAAAGUUUUUCCCCCCCUGGUAUUUGUGUCUUUGAGUGUCUCAGUAAUUUCAUAUCAACCUCACAGGAUUUUUCUGCAUAACUGUCAGAUGGGAUAUGCAGUUUCCUAAUAUAUGCAAUUUGCAUGUUCUUAUCUGUCCCUGACUCUUCUGUUUAAAUAUUAAACAGUUUCUAGCUUCAUGAUAAAAUGUAAUUUUGGUAGUUAAGCACCUGCUGACUCAUUACAGUAUUUCUAAAGGAGGAAAAUGGGAUGAAUUAGAUGGUAUGCUUCUCUUCAAAAUAUUUUCUUUACAUGAUUUUCAGUUUCUCAGUUUUAAUUUGUCUAGAAAGCCUUUAUAGGUAGAAGAUGGUAAUGAAGGCACUUGCCAGCUGAUGGAUUUCUUAUCGCAUACAUUUAUUCUCCUUAGUAGUAAAAUGAGGCAUGACUGUCAUUACAAACCCUCCCUUUUGGGAUCUGAAUUUGCUCCUGAGAAUAAGUACCACUAAUAGGCAAUGUGCAUGAUUUGCAUGUGUGCAAAGCCAAGCAUAUGCCCUUCAGAUCACUUAAAUUUGAACCACUUCAUUGUUGAGGAGAAAUUAUUAUUACUUUCUGUCUUGAGAUGGGAUCUUGCUGUGCAGUUCUGGCUGGGCUCAAACUGGAGAUCCUUCUGUCUCAGUUUCUGGAACACAUAGUACCACAACUGGCUCUUAAGGAUUUCAGUAUUUUAUUUGAGAUUGGGCAAGAGUUGGCCAGGAUAAGAAAUGUUCAGAAUUGGUGGAGGUUUUGUGUUUGAGUUUUUGACUCUGCUUUCGAUAAGCCUUUUUACCUGAAAGGGGCUGCUGCUGCUUCAAGAUGAUAUACCCCCAUACAUUUGUUGAUUUAUGAAGUAAUUUCUGAGAAAUAUGUCAUUAGGUGACUUUAGUCAUUUUUGUAAACAUUAGCUACCUUAUAUAAAGCAAGGUGAUGUAAUGAAGUAUGAUAUUGUACAUAGAUGUAUACACUAUACUUUGACUGACAGACAGUUGUUUACAGUAGCAUUGCUACACAUGUGAGUAAUACAUUGUGUUAAACUGAAGAUUGGAAGGAAUUUUUGGCUUCUAUUUUUGAUAUGCACGUCCCUGUAGAUCAAAUGACGGGCUGAUUCCUAAUCCUAGCUUAGUCUUUCAGAUUUCAGUGAACCAUAUAUCACUUGGAAAUUAAGGUCAUUUUGGGAUUUCAAGAAAAUAUAUUGUCAGUAUCAAAUCAGAAAGUAUUAGUAUACCAAUUAAUUUCUUUAAUUCAUUUAAAUUUUGUGAGACACUAGUGGGAAACAAGGCAGGGUAUAUGGAUGUCUAAUAAAUUUUGA
rnacentral:lncRNA from 1 species